rnacentral:rRNA from 1 species
UAUGCACGCUGGCGGCGUGCUUAACACAUGCAAGUCGAACGAUGAAGCCCAGCUUGCUGGGUGGAUUAGUGGCGAACGGGUGAGUAACACGUGAGUAACCUGCCCUUGACUCUGGGAUAAGCCUGGGAAACUGGGUCUAAUACUGGAUAUGACUUCUCAUCGCAUGGUGGGGGGUGGAAAGAUUUAUUGGUCUUGGAUGGACUCGCGGCCUAUCAGCUUGUUGGUGAGGUAAUGGCUCACCAAGGCGACGACGGGUAGCCGGCCUGAGAGGGUGACCGGCCACACUGGGACUGAGACACGGCCCAGACUCCUACGGGAGGCAGCAGUGGGGAAUAUUGCACAAUGGGCGCAAGCCUGAUGCAGUGACGCCGCGUGAGGUAUGACGGCCUUCGGUUUGUAAUCCUCUUUCAGUAGGGAAGAAGCGAGAGUGACGGUACCUGCAGAAGAAGCGCCGGCUAACUACGUG